UGCACGCCAGUGCGAUAAGGGGAUCCCGAGUGCACAGGCAUAGAGCCUGUGCUUUUCUGAACCGUAGGGAGGUUCAGGAACAAGAGCUGGGCAAGACCGGUGCCAGCCGCCGCGGUAAAUACCGGCAGCUCGAGUGAUGGCCGAUCUUAUUGGGCCUAAAGCGUCCGUAGCUGGCCUUGCAAGUCCGUCGGGAAAUCCACCCGCUCAACGGGUGGGCGUCCGGCGGAAACUGUGAGGCUUGGGACCGGGAGGCUUGAAGGGUACGUCCGGGGUAGGAGUGAAAUCCUGUAAUCCUGGACGGACCGCCGAUGGGGAAACCACUUCAAGAGAACGGAUCCGACAGUGAGGGACGAAAGCUAGGGUCUCGAACCGGAUUAGAUACCCGGGUAGUCCUAGCUGUAAACGAUGCCUGUUAGGUGUGACUCCCACUACGAGUGGGUGUUGUGCCGUAGGGAAGCCGCUAAACAGGCCGCCUGGGAAGUACGUCUGCAAGGAUGAAACUUAAAGGAAUUGGCGGGGGAGCACUACAACCGGAGGAGCCUGCGGUUUAAUUGGACUCAACGCCGGACAUCUCACCAGCAUCGACUGUGGUAAUGACGGUCAGGUUGAUGACCUUACCCGAGCCACAGAGAGGAGGUGCAUGGCCGCCGUCAGCUCGUACCGUGAGGCGUCCUGUUAAGUCAGGCAACGAGCGAGACCCGCAUCCUUACUUGCCAGCAGCACCGCGAGGUGGCUGGGGACAGUAGGGAGACCGCCGUGGCUAACACGGAGGAAGGAACGGGCAACGGUAGGUCAGUAUGCCCCGAAUAUGCUGGGCAACACGCGGGCUACAAUGGCCGAGACAAUGGGUUCCAACGCCGAGAGGCGACGGUAAUCUCAGAAACUCGGUCGUAGUUCGGAUUGUGGACUGAAACUCGUCCACAUGAAGCUGGAUUCGGUAGUAAUCGCG
rnacentral:rRNA from 1 species